AUGAGGGCCAUCGCUUGGAAUUGCCGAGGUAUGGGCCGAGGCCUCGGCAAUGAAAGAAUGCUCUACCUAGCUAACUUAAUGCGAUCCACGAAGGCGCAUGUAACCUUUGUUUCGGAAAUCAAAUCAUCCAAAAUUCGUUCUGUUGAUCUUGUUAAUAGGUUUGAUGUUACCGAUGGUUUUGUUGUUCCUUCUAGAGGUGCUUCGGGAGGUCUUUGGCUUAUGUGGACUGAUGAUCUUAAAGUCUCUGUUCAUAGUUCUGCUUUCCAUUAUAUUUUAGCUAAAGUAGUUCAUCUAGCUUCGGGGGUCAACUUUUGUUUAAUUUGUAUAUACGGCGACCCAUAUCAUAGGCAGACUACUCGCAUUUGGGAUCAAGUUUCUUCUUUUGUGUAUGAUAAUCUGGGCAUGCCGAUGUUGUGUAUGGGAGACCUGAAUGACAUCAUGUAUGAUAUUGAUGGUUGUAAUGGCAAUGUGAAUUACUAUCGUAUGCAUGCUUUUCGUUCUCUUGUGAAAAAUUGUGGUUUGUUUGAUAUAGGUUAUAGUGGGCCUGCUUAUACUUGGCGUGGUAGACAGAACACUUCCAAUCCUAUUUAUAAACGCCUUGACCGUUGUUUGGUUAAUUCCGAAUGGUGCAUGCAUUAUCCUAAUACCAAAGUUCUUAAUCUGCCUAUCAUUUUGAGUGAUCAUGCUCCCAUUUUACUGUCUACCGAAGGUAAUUUUGUCAAACCUAAGCAGACCUUCAAAUUUGAAAAUUGGUGGCUGUUAGAAAAGGAUUUUUCUGCUUUUGCUAAAUCAUCUUGGACUAAUUGCUCGGCUCAAUCUUUUGCAGCCAAAACUUCCUCUUUAGCAGGGCCACUUAAAAAGUGGUGUAAAAGGAAGAAGCCCCUCCAACAGGACCUUCAUGACCUUGAAUUGAGUAUUAACCAAAUACAACAACUUCCCUUGCAGCAGCAAGAUCAUGCUUUAGAAAGUACUCUCACUAUCAGAUCCUACUUAUGCUCUUCCAGAUAA
rnacentral:rRNA from 1 species